UACGGAGGGGACUAGCGUUGUUCGGAAUUACUGGGCGUAAAGCGCACGUAGGCGGAUUUGUGAGUCAGGGGUGAAAUCCCGGGGCUCAACCUCGGAACUGCCUUUGAUACUGCAAAUCUCGAGUCCGGAAGAGGUGAGUGGAAUUCCUAGUGUAGAGGUGAAAUUCGUAGAUAUUAGGAAGAACACCAGUGGCGAAGGCGGCUCACUGGUCCGGUACUGACGCUGAGGUGCGAAAGCGUGGGGAGCAAACAGG
rnacentral:rRNA from 1 species